rnacentral:rRNA from 1 species
AGAGUUUGAUUCUGGCUCAGGAUGAACGCUGGCGGCGUGCCUAAUACAUGCAAGUCGAACGGCAGCAGCAAUGCUGUAGUGGCGAACGGGUGAGUAACACGUUGGUGACCUGCCCCAAAGAUGGGAAUGUCACCUGGAAACGGGUGGCAAAACCGAAUAAGCUUGAGGGAGUUAGAGAGCCUCAAGUAAAAGCGAAAGCUACUUUGGGAGGGGCCUGCGGCCCAUCAGUUAGUUGGUGAGGGUAACGGCCCACCAAGACGAAGACGGGUAGGGGACCUGAGAGGGUGGUCCCCCACAAUGGAACUGAAACACGGUCCAUACACCUGCGGGUGGCAGCAGUAGGGAAUAUUGCUUAAUGGGCGAAAGCCCUGAAGCAGCAACGCCGCGUGGACGAAGGAGGCCUUCGGGUCGUAAAGUCCUUUUAUGUGGGAAAAGGAAGGAUGGUACCACAUGAAUAAGUCUCGGCUAACUACGUGCCAGCAGCCGC